GAUGAACGCUGGCGGCGUGCCUAACACAUGCAAGUCGAACGAUGGAACCGCCUCCGGGCGGACAUGAAGUGGCGAACGGGUGAGUAACACGUGACCGACCUGCCCCCCGCCCAGGGACAGCCCCCCGAAAGGGGGAUUAAUACCUGGUACUCCGGAAGCGGCGCAUGCCGUCUCCGGGAAAGCCCUGGCGGCGGGGGAUGGGGUCGCGGCCCAUCAGGUAGACGGCGGGGCAGAGGCCCACCGUGCCGACGACGGGUAGCCGGGUUGAGAGACCGACCGGCCACAUUGGGACUGAGAUACGGCCCAGACUCCUACGGGAGGCAGCAGUGGGGAAUUUUGCGCAAUGGGGGCAACCCUGACGCAGCAACGCCGCGUGCGGGACGAAGGCGUCCGCGUCGUAAACCGCUUUCAGCGGGGAACACCUAACGAGGGUACCCGCAGAAGAAGCCCCGGCUAAAUACGUGCCAGCCGCCGCCGUAA
rnacentral:rRNA from 1 species